rnacentral:rRNA from 1 species
UACGGAGGGUGCGAGCGUUAUCCGGAUUCACUGGGCGUAAAGCGCGUGCAGGCGGUUCGGUAAGUUGGAUAUGAAAUCUCCUGGCUUAACUGGGAGAGGCUAUUCAAUACUACCGGACUAGAGAGUGGUAGAGGAAGAUGGAAUUCCAGGUGUAGUGGUGAAAUGCGUAGAUAUCUGGAGGAACACCAGUGGCGAAAGCGAUCUUCUGGACCAUUUCUGACGCUCAGACGCGAAAGCUAGGGUAGUAAACGGG